UGAACGCUAGCUACAGGCUUAACACAUGCAAGUCGAGGGGCAGCAUGGUCUUAGCUUGCUAAGGCCGAUGGCGACCGGCGCACGGGUGAGUAACACGUAUCCAACCUGCCGUCUACUCUUGGACAGCCUUCUGAAAGGAAGAUUAAUACAAGAUGGCAUCAUGAGUCCGCAUGUUCACAUGAUUAAAGGUAUUCCGGUAGACGAUGGGGAUGCGUUCCAUUAGAUAGUAGGCGGGGUAACGGCCCACCUAGUCUUCGAUGGAUAGGGGUUCUGAGAGGAAGGUCCCCCACAUUGGAACUGAGACACGGUCCAAACUCCUACGGGAGGCAGCAGUGAGGAAUAUUGGUCAAUGGGCGAGAGCCUGAACCAGCCAAGUAGCGUGAAGGAUGACUGCCCUAUGGGUUGUAAACUUCUUUUAUAAAGGAAUAAAGUCGGGUAUGCAUACCCGUUUGCAUGUACUUUAUGAAUAAGGAUCGGCUAACUCCGUGCCAGCAGCCGCGGUAAUACGGAGGAUCCGAGCGUUAUCCGGAUUUAUUGGGUUUAAAGGGAGCGUAGAUGGAUGUUUAAGUCAGUUGUGAAAGUUUGCGGCUCAACCGUAAAAUUGCAGUUGAUACUGGAUAUCUUGAGUGCAGUUGAGGCAGGCGGAAUUCGUGGUGUAGCGGUGAAAUGCUUAGAUAUCACGAAGAACUCCGAUUGCGAAGGGCAGCCUGCUAAGCUGCAACUGACAUUGAGGCUCGAAAGUGUGGGUAUCAAACAGGAUUAGAUACCCUGGUAGUCCACACGGUAAACGAUGAAUACUCGCUGUUUGCGAUAUACGGCAAGCGGCCAAGCGAAAGCGUUAAGUAUUCCACCUGGGGAGUACGCCGGCAACGGUGAAACUCAAAGGAAUUGACGGGGGCCCGCACAAGCGGAGGAACAUGUGGUUUAAUUCGAUGAUACGCGAGGAACCUUACCCGGGCUUAAAUUGCAGAUGAAUUACGGUGAAAGCCGUAAGCCGCAAGGCAUCUGUGAAGGUGCUGCAUGGUUGUCGUCAGCUCGUGCCGUGAGGUGUCGGCUUAAGUGCCAUAACGAGCGCAACCCUUGUUGUCAGUUACUAACAGGUUCCGCUGAGGACUCUGACAAGACUGCCAUCGUAAGAUGUGAGGAAGGUGGGGAUGACGUCAAAUCAGCACGGCCCUUACGUCCGGGGCUACACACGUGUUACAAUGGGGGGUACAGAGGGCCGCUACCACGCGAGUGGAUGCCGAUCCCCAAAACCUCUCUCAGUUCGGACUGGAGUCUGCAACCCGACUCCACGAAGCUGGAUUCGCUAGUAAUCGCGCAUCAGCCACGGCGCGGUGAAUACGUUCCCGGGCCUUGUACACACCGCCCGUCAAGCCAUGGGAGCCGGGGGUACCUGAAGUGCGUAACCGCGAGGAGCGCCCUAGGGUAAAACUGGUGACUGGGG
rnacentral:rRNA from 1 species